AAGGUAGCAUAAUCAUUUGCCUUUUAAUUAAAGGCUAGUAUGAAUGGACACACGUAAGCUAAGCUGUCUCAUUAACAACCAUAAAAAUUAACCUUUGGGUGAAGAGACCCAAAUUAUAUAAAAAGACGAAAAGACCCUAUGGAGCUUUACUUAAAUAGAAAACCUAAUAAAUUACAUAAAAAAAAACUUCUUUAUAAAGUUUAGUUGGGGCGACUAAGGAGCACAAAAAAUCCUCCUUUUAAUAAAAGAAAAUAACUCUUCUACAGAUCCACCUAAGUGAAUAUAAAACCAGCUACCCUAGGGAUAACAGGCUAAUCCUCCUCGAGAGCCCAAAUUGACAGGAGGGGUUGGCACCUCGAUGUUGGCUUAAGGUUCCUUCAAAGUGCAGCAGCUUUGAGAGUAGGUUUGUUCACCCUUUAAAACCUUACGUGAUCUGA
rnacentral:rRNA from 1 species